AAACUGAGGAGCUGCUUGCCUGCCCUUGCAGCUAAGGGUGGCUGAAUCUACCUGAGGACCUAUUAGGAUGUCUCCUCUCAGCUAAAAAUCCUGCCUUAAUAGUAUACUCAUCAAUCCAAGAUUACCUCGGUAUUUCCUGUUUUUAUUCUAUAAAACUGACUCUCCUUUCUAACACCUUUGAACCCCUGCUGAAACGAAGGUGACAGCAGGCUACCCCCUUGCUGCAAUUUUAUGGAUAAAUGACAUUUGUUUAUUUGAUCUCAGAUGCAGUGUGGUCUUUGGCACUAGAAAGUGUGACAUGGAAGAUUCCAUCACGAUGAGAAUAUGGCUUACUGAGGGUUUGCAAUGGGCCACUGAUCAGCACUUCACAUAAUCUGCACAAAGUCUCCCAUUAAGUAAGUACUCUUGCCUUCCUCAGCAUCGUCUUCCCUUUAUAGGUAAAGGAAGUAAGGUACAGAGAUGAGAAUGAGCUUGCCCGAAGUCACACAGCUGGUAACUGAUGAAAAUGGGGUUUGAAGCUAGGCAGCCUGGCUCAAGAUUCUGCACUUUUCCCUACUAUACGAGGUGGUUCUAGUACCAGGGAGGUUUUUCUUCACAUUUUUGAGGGCCCGUGGCAGUUUUUGAGUUUGUAAAUGAUGCGCGAGAAUUUAGACCUCUGAUGGACUGCUUCACCAUUCCUGAGGGAUGAUUGGGUGAGGGUGGGGAGGCUGACGGGGGUGGUCCAGACACGAAGCCCAGGCAGACGCCCCCGAACCACGGCAGCGUCCUGGUUCACAAUCUGAUGCUCUAAGCUGCAGCGGCAGCCGGGAUGGAGGCAAGUGUGAGCCAUGAGAGACCUUAUCCAGCAGGCUGACACUUUUCCAGGCUGGAGUCUUUAAUUCCAACCACAGAACUUGGAAUGACAGACGGGUAGGGCAGAUAGCAUUUUAUAGAAGAUGAAGAAACUGAGGUCAAGGGUGGGUCACUUGCCUAGAGUCACUCAGCAAACUUGUGGAACCAGAUUCCAAGGGUUCACUGGCUCUCGGUUGUGGACCUGGAGGGAAGGUAUAGCCCCAGACACAAAGCCGGAGUCCCAGGACACACCUGUUGCUUCUGCCUGUGGGGUGUCUUCUGAGCAGCUCAUGCUAUAUCCUACCUGCACCUCAUUACAACAGUUCCUGAAAGGGACACUGGAGUUAGGGUUUGAAAGCCACAUUUAUAUAAAGUGUCACUUGGUCUUCAGGACAAAUGCAAAACCUGGAUUGUGAUUUUUGUUUCGUGGAUGUGGUUUAGGGGUUAAGUGAUAAACCCAAGGAGACGCAGCUGGUAGAUGGAGCAGCUAGGUCCAGUUUUUGGCUUCGAAGUCGAGAGGGCAUUGACUGCAUGAACUGCCUUCAUUAUCCACUCACCUCAUUAAGAGCAUUGGCAAGACUGUGAAAUUGACCCUAAGCAUGUGCGUGCUUUCUUUAAAACAUAACUUGAAGGGUAAGUGUAAAGAUUCACAAUGCACUGGAAAGUGGGGGUGAGCUCUAGCAGGGCCUUUUCUGAUAUUCUGAGAGGUCAUUUAAAUCUUGUCUGGUCUGUUUCCAGGCCCUGAAAGGCACCAGGCUUGCUUUGACUGGCUGCCCUCAGAGUGUAUGAAGAUGAGAGUGUUAUUAGAAUCCAAAGUCACUCAUUGGCCAGUGCUGGUAAACUAAAACCCGAAAUGUGUGCAAAAUGCGUUUUCUCUUUGGAGAAAGUGACAUCUCAUCUGAGUGCCUCGGGCCCCUGCAGGAUGUUAUCUACUGAGAAGGAAUCACACAUGCCAGGUUAUCUGUCUUCAGGUGAUUUCUUCGAAGUGUGGCGGCACCUCCCUUGAUGACUGCUGGGGGGUAUAAUGAAUCACCCACUUGCGGGAGAAGGCUGAAGAAUUUGCUUUACCAGAGAUACAGAAGUGGAGGGAAUGCACAGGUAUUGAAGUGUGUGUGCACGCAUAUGCGAAUUUACAUGCUUUGCAUGCCCCUGUGUGCACGCAUGUGUGCAUUCGUGUGUGCACAAGUGCACUGAUGUACACACAUGUGCAUCUCCAGCCCUGCUGAGGUCUCAUGGAGGGGCGGAUCAAGACAGUUCCUUAGAGACGACUACUAGCAAGGCUUUUGUGGAGGUGGCCUGGCCCUGGGAAGCUUAGAGCAUCAGAUUGUGAAGCAACAUUUUACAUAAUGACUCUAGGAAGGAUUGUGGGGUAAUGGAAGGGAUACCGAUCCAGGAAGCAAGGCACUGAGCCCUGUCUCUGCCCCCAGCCUGCUGGGCGACUUCAGGAGACUCAUCAGCCUCCUGAGCCUCAUUUUCCCCACAUGUGAAGCUGUAAAACCCAAACUCCUUGCCAAUGUGUUCCAGGCCUGUAGUAGGUGCUGCGGUGCGUGACUCUCCUUCGGGACUGAGCCCCCUGUCUCCCAGCUGCUGGAGUGGGUGCUCCUCAGAAACAAAGAGUCCUUCAUCCAAGGUCCUCCCGUCUCUAGGGAGCAGCCAGCUGGGGACACACCCGUGCAUGUGUCAGGCCCAGUUCCUGGCCUGAUACCUCUGCAGGCCAUCCCAGCUCCAUGCUCCCUGAGGGACUGGCAGAAACCUCUCUUGUGAAUGCACGGCAGCCUGGCUUCUCUGCUAGACUUCUACUUCCCUUUGACUCCCUUUCAAACGGACAGUCCCAAGAGCACUGCCCGAUCACGCCCCUGCCUACAGACUUUCAUCUCAGGAGAUCCCAGAACAACACCCCAGUGGUCUGCGCCUCUGUGAUGGCCCCUCCUCCACCGUCCCUCACUCUCGUCAUCAAAGCACACUCCAGCCUCAGGGCCUUUGCACCUUCCUUCUGUAGAAAACCCUUCCCCCCACCCUUUGUAGAUGACUUCCUACCAUUUAAAUCUCAGCAAAAUGGUCAUGUCCUCAGUAAGGCCUUCCCUGACCACCCCAUCUAGGAUUCCUCCAUCAAUUAAUCUGAAUACAUCACUGUUUUAUUUUUUCUCAAGGCCUUUAUCACUCCCUGACAUUAGGUUUGUUAAUUAUGCAGUUGUUUAUUUUCUGUCACCCGCUCCUUUGAAAUGAAAGUUCCCUGAGCACAGGAUCUGCAGCUUGGCUCUCUGCCCCAUCCGCAGUGCCAGCAAGUGAACCUGGAACAAGGCAUCUGCCUGUUCAAAGCCACCUGGGAAAAGAAUUUACAUUGGACUUGAAGUGAGGUGCAUCAGCUGCCAAGGACACCACUAAAAUAUCAGUCUCAGCUCCAUUAUAGGUUGUGCAAGGAUGGCUCUGAAAGCCGUCUCAAAACCAUGAGGGCAGCAUGGCCCACCUGCUGAAGAUGGCACAGUGGAAAGGUGAAGUCUCAGGGCUCAGACGAGAUCGUGAGCUGGCGAAUUAACACAGGAGCCUUCUUUCCCCAAGUUCCUUGUCCUAUGAGGUUAUACCACUGACUGUUUAUGCCAUUUUUAGUUGAAGGUUCUUCUGCUUGCAGCCCCAAGCAUUCUAACCGACAUGAAAGGUCUGCUGUAGUCGUGAGCAGAUUGUGGCAGUAUAUUUUGAUAGUCUAGGUGGAGAAACCUUAGUGCAAGGGUUUCAUGAUAGCGGUUCUGCCUCUCUAAGGAUAUUCCCCUUCACUUCUGGAUUUACAGCUGUGAUCCGGAUACUGAGUACACCCUCAUCCCAGUGGUACUAUCUCAACAGGCUGCAUGGAGAGUAAUGGAAAAAGAUACCACCUUGACCAAACUGACUUUGACCCCCUGGAGCUCUCACAGUAUUUUGGGGGCUGUGAAGGGCAGACCUAUCUGUGUUUCCAUCAGGCCCCAGUUUCCUCAUUACUUUGCUCAGCUUCCAAGCUGAGAUCAUUAUUAAUUAAUACACUUAUAGUUAUUAAUAUAUGGUGACAUUAAUUAACUACAGUCUAUUAAAUGCCCCCUGUGUGUCUGGUCUGAUGCUACAUGUUGUGCUGCAUUUUCUCAUUGAUCCUCCCAAUAAGCCAAGAAGAUGAGUUUUGCUAUGCAUGUUUUACAAGAAAGAACGCAAGGUUCAGAUAAUUCAUUAAUGUGCCCAAAGGCCCCCAUUCUGAUUGGAAAUCAGCAGAGGCAGGAUAUCACCUCGCAAUUCACCCUGGUUCCACUUCUCUAAGAGGAGUUUUUGCAGAGGGAAGCAUCUGUUUUAGAUUUGCACCAGUUCUUGGCUUGUUCUGGUGAUAAAGAAGAAACAACAUUAACCUUGAUGUCAAGAACCUGGGAUUGAAUCCUGGUCAGUCUACUGAGGCGAUGCUGGGGAGAGGGGGUGUCGUGGCGUGGAUUGAUUUUUUUUUCUCCUCUGAGUCUUAGUUGUUUUUUAUUCUCUAAAAGGGAUAGUAGUCCUUAAACUCCAGGUAAUUUAUUGUCAAAGGAAAUAACAAAUGUGAAAUUGUCCAGGUACAGUACAAUAGGUACCAAAACCCUCUGUUUAGUUCAUUCAUUUAUUCACUCUUCACUCAUCCCUUAUAUCAACUUCUGGGUCUGCAAGAUGCAGCAUGUAAACACCCUGGUAGUGACCUUGAACACUCUGGUAGGAGUCAUUCUCCGUCACCUACCAGCUGUGAAAUGGUGGGCAGUGCAAGUAACCUUAGUAGGUCUCACAUUCCCUUCUGUAACAAAAGCUUUUCUUUUGUGACAGCUACACUUUCAUCAUUUUAAAUGUGUGAACUCAUUAAAUCUUCUCAAUAGCCUUCAAAGUUGGCAUAUAAUUAUCUCCUAUUACAGAUUAGGAAAUUGAAGUACAGGGAAGUUAAAAACUUGGCCGUGUCGGCCAGGCGCGGUGGCUCACACCUGUAAUCCCAGCACUUUGUGGGGCUGAGGCGGGUGGACAACAAG